rfam:Ictidomys tridecemlineatus contig012331, whole genome shotgun sequence.
GGGGUGGUGGCUCAGUGGUAGAGCACACGCCUUGCAUGUGUGAGGCACUGGGUCAAAUUCUCUGCACCA